UACAGAGGGUGCAAGCGUUAAUCGGAAUUACUGGGCGUAAAGCGUGCGCAGACGGUUGCGUAAGUCGGAUGUGAAAGCCCCGGGCUCAACCUGGGAAUGGCAAUGGAUACUGGCAGGCUAGAGUGCGGUAGAGGUAGUGGAAUUCCCGGUGUAGCGGUGAAAUGCGUAGAGAUCGGGAGGAACACCAGUGGCGAAGGCGGCUACCUGGACCAGCACUGACACUGAGGCACGAAAGCGUGGGGAGCAAACAGG
rnacentral:rRNA from 1 species